GUCUCUUCAGAGACAUCAGUUAGAAUUGGAAUGAUACAUAGAAAAUUAGCAUGGUCACUGCGCAAAGAAGGCACAAAUCUAAAAAUGGUCCAAGAGAGAGAG
rfam:Amborella trichopoda AMTR_V1.0_contig_37067, whole genome shotgun sequence.